rnacentral:rRNA from 1 species
AUUCCAGCUCCAAUAGCGUAUAUUUAAGUUGUUGCGGUUAAAAAGCUCGUAGUUGGAUUUCGGGCGUGGAGGUUCGGUCCGCCGUUUCGGUGUGCACUGUCUUUCUGCGUCUUUCUGUCGGGGACGCGCUUCUGGCCUUAAUUGGCUGGGACGUGGAUUCGACGAGGUUACUUUGAAAAAAUUAGAGUGUUCAAAGCAAGCUAAAGCUCUGAAUACAUUAGCAUGGAAUAACGCGAGAGGACUCGGUCCUUAUUUUGUUGGUCUUCAAGGAUGGAGUAAUGAUUAAGAGGGACAGUUGGGGGCAUUCGUAUUUCAUUGCUAGAGGUGAAAUUCUUGGAUUUAUGAAAGACGAACUUCUGCGAAAGCAUUGGCCAAGGAUGUUUUCAUUA